rnacentral:rRNA from 1 species
UACAGAGGUGGCAAGCGUUGUUCGGAAUUAUUGGGCGUAAAGAGCUCGUAGGCGGCUUGUUGCGUCGACUGUGAAAACCCGCGGCUUAACUGCGGGCUUGCAGUUGAUACGGGCAGGCUAGAGUUCGGUAGGGGAGACUGGAAUUCCUGGUGUAGCGGUGAAAUGCGCAGAUAUCAGGAGGAACACCGGUGGCGAAGGCGGGUCUCUGGGCCGAUACUGACGCUGAGGAGCGAAAGCGUGGGGAGCGAACAGG